rnacentral:lncRNA from 1 species
AAAAAAAAAAAAAAAUUUUUCAUUACGAUUGUUUGGUUGGAAGGAAAAGAAGAAAAAAAAAGUUAAUUAUAAAUAAAAAAUUAUUAUAUAUAUUUUUUAUUUUAUAUAUUAUAUAUUAUUAAUAUAAAAUAAUUAUCAUAUUACAUAUAUUAAUAUUAUAAUUUAUAUUUGUAAAUAAAAUAUAUUUAAAAUAUAUAAUAUAAUAUAUAUAUAUAAUAAAUUUAUAAAUAAUAUAUAUAUAU